AUGGUCGUUGAUCCAGUUCUCAAGGGAUUUGACCUCAACAUCGCGGCAGUAGAUGAGUCAAGCCCCUUGGAAGGAAUCGACCUUGUAAGUGUGACGAUGGACGGCACGAUCAAGCAUUUUUUCUACCGUCCCAAGGCGUUCAAGAGUGGACGGACGAAACAUCGGAAGAUAAAGGCGGAGUGCAACGCUCGUUCCGCGUGGUACAAGACCGGCAAAAGCAUGACAUUGAAGGCCAACGGCCGGCUGACGGGCUGGAAGAACAUCCUGGUGCUCUACACCAACACGUUCGGCGGCAGCGCGCGAGACAAGGCCAGGAAGACCAACUGGGUGAUGCACGAGUAUCACCUCAGCGACGUCGAGGACGAGGAAGACGAAGAUGGGGAGCUGGUCCUGUGCAAAAUCUUCUACCAGACGGCGGGGCCCAAGAGAAGAAGUGUGUUGAGGACCCAAGAGAACAAGUGCCCCUGUGGCAUGGACGUUUUGCCAUCCCAAAACAACCCCCCAAAAAACUAG
rnacentral:rRNA from 1 species